rnacentral:misc_RNA from 1 species
AACGCACAUUGCACCCUCUGGUAUUCCGGAGGGUAUGCCUGUUCGAGCGUCAUUGCAGCCCUCAAGCUCUGCUUGGUGUUGGGCCUGGCUCCUGCAGCCGGCCUCAAAGCGAGUGGCGGCGUCGGCCGACCCCGAGCACAGUAGUUUUCUUGCUCUGGGGAUUCGGCCUGCUGCCUGCCAGCAAGCCACUUUCAAUGGUUGACCUCGGAUCAGGUAGGGAUACCCGCUGAACUUAA